UAUAACCUCCCAAAUUGAAAUAAAAAUCUCUCAUUUCCCUCAAAACUCUCUGUCUACCAAGUUUUACCAUUGAAAAGAAAUCAAGCAUCUAGACAAGGUUCAAGCUCCAAGGUUUUCAACAAAGUUUCAUGGUGAAUAUUCCAUUAGGUUUGGGCUAGUAGGUCUUAUUGUAGAAGAAGAAAAUGCUUGGAUAACAUUCUUCAAGACCAAUUGGUUUGUUCUCAAGCUUUGAGGACAACAUGAUACCAAUAUGUUUCUUUCUUUAAUUUUUGUACUAGACUACUAUUGCACUUCUUAUAUGGAUACUUUUGAUUGUAAGGGCUAAGGUCCCUAUGUUGAGAUUCUUAUGUUUGAACCAAGAUUGUUAAUAAGACAAGUCUAGAUGCUCUAUUUAAUAUAUGAAAGAGGUUGACAUUGAUUGUUAAAGUUCUAAA